rnacentral:rRNA from 1 species
AUUGAACGCUGGCGGCAGGCUUAACACAUGCAAGUCGAGCGGGGGAAGGUAGCUUGCUACCGGACCUAGCGGCGGACGGGUGAGUAAUGCUUAGGAAUCUGCCUAUUAGUGGGGGACAACAUCUCGAAAGGGAUGCUAAUACCGCAUACGUCCUACGGGAGAAAGCAGGGGAUCUUCGGACCUUGCGCUAAUAGAUGAGCCUAAGUCAGAUUAGCUAGGUGGGGGGGUAAAGGCCUACCAAGGCGACGAUCUGUAGCGGGUCUGAGAGGAUGAUCCGCCACACUGGGACUGAGACACGGCCCAGACUCCUACGGGAGGCAGCAGUGGGGAAUAUUGGACAAUGGGGGGAACCCUGAUCCAGCCAUGCCGCGUGUGUGAAGAAGGCCUUAUGGUUGUAAAGCACUUUAAGCGAGGAGGAGGCUACUUUAGUUAAUACCUAGAGAUAGUGGACGUUACUCGCAGAAUAAGCACCGGCUAACUCUGUGCCAGCCGCCGCCGUAA